rnacentral:lncRNA from 1 species
AGGCAUUAUACCAGGCAGCGGAGCCAGCCAGUCCCCCCAGAUGGUGGAGGGAGGUGGUGGAGGUGUCUGGGACCAGAAAAUAGUGAGGACCCUCUUACUGAAGUGAGGACGGGUGGCAUAAACUGAGGCCCAGAUGGUGGACCAGAUCUCCUGAGCCAUCUACUCAUUUCUUCGUGUGUUCCAGUUUGGAUUCAAACUCUCUUUAGCAUAUUGGAAAGCAGAAUCCAUGUUCUACUGAUGCAAUUCCCCUUGACCAUCAUGAAAGAAUUGGACUGAAAGCAGGACAUUUCUGAAGUCUCUGGAGGAUACGUAACAUGACUGUUGGAGGGAAUGCACAUAGGAAGAGGUAGUGAAUUAUGUGUCAAGUGCCCCAACAAAAGGCUGUCAGUGUUUGUCUCUGACACAUUGUUGGGGAGAAAGGUGG